AUUGAACGCUGGCGGCAGGCCUAACACAUGCAAGUCGAGCGAGCGGCGGACGGGUGAGUAAUGUCUGGGAAACUGCCUGAUGGAGGGGGAUAACUACUGGAAACGGUAGCUAAUACCGCAUACCAUCAGAUGUGCCCCGAUGGGAGUAGCUAGUAGGGUGGGUAAUGGCUCACCUAGGCGACGAUCCCUAGCUGGUCUGCGAGGAUGACCAGCCACACUGGAACUGAGACACGGUCCAGACGCCGACGGGAGGCAGCAGUGGGGAAUAUUGCACAAUGGGCGCAAGCCUGAUGCAGCCAUGCCGCGUGUAUGAAGAAGGCCUUCGGGUUGUAAAGCACUUUCAGCGGGGAGGCGUUACCCGCAGAAGAAGCACCGGCUAACUCCGUGCCAGCAGCCGCGGUAAUUC
rnacentral:rRNA from 1 species